GCUUCUGCAAUCAUCGCCUGUUCAUACUUAAACACGAACUGAAGAGCAACUUGUGAAAUUUAUUUAAAAAAGAAAAAAAUUUGUUCAAGAUAUCCAUCAGAAGAUUUUCAGCUGAUUUCUACAAUGAUUUCAACGAGAAGACUCAUCAUUAUCUUCAUUGCAACUCUAGCUAUGUUUGCGGCCUUAAUAAAUGCAAAACCAGCAACGGUCCGCCCAGCAGGAGCCAUAACAGCGUAUCCUAUACCACAGCGACCACCAUACGCACCAAAUCCAUGGGUUUAUCCAAAACCCACGGUCGAACCAAUUCAUCAAUGAAAAUCAUUAAGUUGGAAGAUCUAGGUGGAAGAAGAAAUAUGUAGCAAGGAAAAAAUAUUUAAUAUGAAUAAAAAUCUGCAUUUUAAUAAGUACCAUAUGAAUUCAAUAAAAGUCAAUAGCCAGUUGGCUAGAGGAAGAUUGCAAAUGAAACGUGUUAACGCACUGUAAACUAUAAGUCAUUCAUGAGUUAACCAUGGUCAGGUACAAUUACUAAGCAGACCACAUGUGUUGUAUAUGAAGAGCAAAUGAAAUAAAAGAAGAGAGAGAGAGAGAGACAGAUAGACAGACAGAAAGAGAGAGAGCAACUUCUCGGGUACGUGUAAUAAUAUCGGGUGUCCAAUUCGUCAGUCAUUGCUUUGUAAAAAGUAUUACAGACUAUUGAAAACAAUCAAGCGAUACACAAUUUUAUUUGGUUUGCGUUUGGUUAUAUAUAGAAGUAUAGAUUGUAUAAUGUAUACAGAAUGUUAUGUAACUGCAAAUAAUUUAUAAUCCAGUAAAAUCCAAACAACAAAAUGUAUAAUAAAAAUUGACUCACACUGUUCAAAAAAACAAUGUACAAAAUUAUAACAAAAAAUUAUUCAAUUUACAAGAAAACAAUUAUUAGUAUUUAACGCGUUAAUUUUUCUACAAUCCCAUUUUCCUAAUAUAAUUACAUAUUCAUGUCAUUCCAAAAAGUUACUUUCUACUCUUGCGCGAAACGCUAUCGAUAACUAAAACGCAUUAUCAAUUUCGAGAAAGUGUCUAACAGUUUCCAAACAAUGAAAAUACGAAUCUUGUCGUAAAAAUAAAGACUUACCUUUCGAUGAACUGCUCCUUUGUUCUUCAUUUCAAACGUACCGAAGGUGUUGUAAAAAGAUGCUGCUAAUGAUGGCUUCUACUCCUCGCUGAUUCUUUAGCCAUCUUGAAAAUGACAAACGUUUGAUAAUUAUACAGGGUGUUCAGAAAAAAACAUUCAAUAUUCAAAUAUAUGGUACAUAUGACACACUAUACUGAGCAAGAAAACUUUCGUAAAAUUUUCGAGAUGGUUCGCGACUUUAUAAAAUGUCAAGGGUAUAUAGGAAUGAAAAGAGGACAUGUGGGACACUUUCUAUAAAUAUAGUAGUAAGUAAUCAGUAGUAAGUCAAUUAUGCUGCUAAGAUAAAAAAUACUCAUAUCUCGGAAAUGGUUAAAUUUUCGUCCUAUGUUUGCUAAAGUAUUUUUACUCAGUAUGGUAUUUUCUAUGUAUCAUAUAAAUAUUAGAUGGAUUCUUCGAAUGUAUAUUUCCUUCAGUUUUCUGUGUAAUAAUUUAUGAA